rnacentral:rRNA from 1 species
UACGAAGGGGGCUAGCGUUGCUCGGAAUCACUGGGCGUAAAGCGCACGUAGGCGGAUUGUUAAGUCAGGGGUGAAAUCCUGGAGCUCAACUCCAGAACUGCCUUUGAUACUGGCGAUCUUGAGUCCGGGAGAGGUGAGUGGAACUGCGAGUGUAGAGGUGAAAUUCGUAGAUAUUCGCAAGAACACCAGUGGCGAAGGCGGCUCACGGGCCCGGUACUGACGCUGAGGUGCGAAAGCGUGGGGAGCAAACAGG